rnacentral:rRNA from 1 species
CAGGCCUAACACAUGCAAGUCGAACGAAGGCUUCGGCCUUAGUGGCGCACGGGUGCGUAACGCGUGGGAAUCUGCCCCUUGGUUCGGAAUAACAGUGGGAAACUACUGCUAAUACCGGAUAACGACGUAAGUCCAAAGAUUUAUCGCCGAGGGAUGAGCCCGCGUAGGAUUAGCUAGUUGGUGUGGUAAAGGCGCACCAAGGCGACGAUCCUUAGCUGGGAUGAGAGGAUGAUCAGCCACACUGGGACUGAGACACGGCCCAGACGCCUACGGGAGGCAGCAGUGGGGAAUAUUGGACAAUGGGCGAAAGCCUGAUCCAGCAAUGCCGCGUGAGUGAUGAAGGCCUUAGGGUUGUAAAGCGAUUUGACCCGGGAUGAGAAUGACAGAUCCGGGAGAAGAAGCCCCGGCGAACUCCGUGCCAGCAGCCGCGG